AACCCUCUACUUUAGUCAUCUUUUACACUUAUUCUAAACAGUUAACUGUGUGUGUGUGUGUGUGUGUGUGUGUGUGUGUGUGUGUGUGUGUGUGUGUGUGUGCGCGUGCGUGCGUGCGUGCGUGCGUGCGUGUGUGUGUGUGUUUACAGAUACUACACCUCAUCAGCUGGGCCUCUGGGAUCAGACUCCAGACCUCCUCCUGGCUCCUGAUGUCCCUCACAAACUGUGUGAGCGUGAGCAAGCUCUGGAGGCUGGAGUUCAUGUAACAGUUCUGGGCUGGAUUUGGAAAUCUGACACACAAACACAACAAAUGGAAUCAUAUCUUAAUAUUACAGCUCCA